AGUGAACGCUGGCGGUAGGCCUAACACAUGCAAGUCGAACGGCAGCACAGUAAGAGCUUGCUCUUACGGGUGGCGAGUGGCGGACGGGUGAGGAAUACAUCGGAAUCUACUUUUUCGUGGGGGACAACGUAGGGAAACUUACGCUAAUACCGCAUACGACCUACGGGUGAAAGCAGGGGAUCUUCGGACCUUGCGCGAUUGAAUGAGCCGAUGUCGGAUUAGCUAGUUGGCGGGGUAAAGGCCCACCAAGGCGACGAUCCGUAGCUGGUCUGAGAGGAUGAUCGGCACCACUGGAACUGGGACACGGUCCAGACUCCUACGGGAGGCAGCAGUGGGGAAUAUUGGACAAUGGGCGCAAGCCUGAGCCAGCCAUACCGCGUGGGUGAAGAAGGCCUUCGGGUUGUAAAGCCCUUUUGUUGGGAAAGAAAAGCAGCAGGUUAAUACCCCGCUGUUCUGACGGUACCCAAAGAAUAAGCACCGGCUAACUUCGU
rnacentral:rRNA from 1 species